UGGGGAAUAUUGGACAAUGGGCGCAAGCCUGAUCCAGCCAUGCCGCGUGAGUGAUGAAGGUCUUAGGAUUGUAAAGCUCUUUCACCGGAGAAGAUAAUGACGGUAUCCGGAGAAGAAGCCCCGGCUAACUUCGUGCCAGCAGCCGCGGUAAUACGAAGGGGGCUAGCGUUGUUCGGAAUUACUGGGCGUAAAGCGCACGUAGGCGGAUAUUUAAGUCAGGGGUGAAAUCCCAGAGCUCAACUCUGGAACUGCCUUUGAUACUGGGUAUCUAGAGUAUGGAAGAGGUGAGUGGAAUUCCGAGUGUAGAGGUGAAAUUCGUAGAUAUUCGGAGGAACACCAGUGGCGAAGGCGGCUCACUGGUCCAUUACUGACGCUGAGGUGCGAAAGCGUGGGGAGCAAACAG
rnacentral:rRNA from 1 species